GAUUAACGCUGGCGGCGUGCAUAACACAUGCAAGUCGAACGAUGAAACUUAGUAGACUUCUUCGGAAAGACACUAAGCGGAUUAGUGGCGAACGGGUGAGUAACGCGUGAGUAACCUGCCUUACACAAGGGGAUAGCCUUUGGAAACGAUGAAUAAUACCCUAUAAAACCAUAAAAGCACAUGCUAGAAUGGUCAAAGUGAUAGCGGUGUAAGAUGGACUUGCGUCUGAUUAGCUAGUUGGUGAGAUAAAAGCUCACCAAGGCAACGAUCAGUAGCCGGCUUGAGAGAGUGUACGGCCACAUUGGGACUGAGACACGGCCCAGACUCCUACGGGAGGCAGCAGUGGGGAAUUUUGCACAAUGGGGGAAACCCUGAUGCAGCGACGCCGCGUGAUUUAGAAGGCCUUCGGGUUGUAAAAAUCUUUUGUAUAGGAAGAAAAUGACAGUACUAUACGAAUAAGGUCCGGCUAAUUACGUG
rnacentral:rRNA from 1 species